rnacentral:sRNA from 1 species
AAGUAGCCCCGAUGGAAGCGGAAAUCCUUUUAUUUUUUUCUGAAUUUGUUUCAGAAAAAAAUAAAAGAUUGAAGUGUACAGCGGGAAAAUUG